AGUGAACGCUGGCGGUAUGCCUAACACAUGCAAGUCGAACGGCAGCACAGUAAGAGCUUGCUCUUACGGGUGGCGAGUGGCGGACGGGUGAGGAAUACAUCGGAAUCUACUUUUUCGUGGGGGAUAACGUAGGGAAACUUACGCUAAUACCGCAUACGACCUACGGGUGAAAGCAGGGGAUCUUCGGACCUUGCGCGAUUGAAUGAGCCGAUGUCGGAUUAGCUAGUUGGCGGGGUAAAGGCCCACCAAGGCGACGAUCCGUAGCUGGUCUGAGAGGAUGAUCAGCCACCCUGGAACUGAGACACGGUCCAGACUCCUACGGGAGGCAGCAGUGGGGAAUAUUGGACAAUGGGCGCAAGCCUGAUCCAGCCAUACCGCGUGGGUGAAGAAGGCCUUCGGGUUGUAAAGCCCUUUUGUUGGGAAAGAAAAGCAGCAGGUUAAUACCCAGCUGUUCUGACGGUACCCAAAGAAUAAGCACCGGCUAACUUCGUG
rnacentral:rRNA from 1 species